AUUGCACUACUAAAAAUAGGGACAAAUGAAAGUAGGGAAAGAAAUAGAGCUUCAUUUCUAUUAAAAACUAAGUUAAAUGCCUUUAAAAUACUCAAUACAAAGAGGUCAUUUACAAAUAAUAUCAAAUGAUGUGUAGGCAGACUACUACCAAAGAUCAGGAAGGGUGGCUGCCAAGGGCUGGGGAGAGGGGGAAUAAGGAGUUAGUAUUUAUGGGGACGGAGUUUCACUUUUGCCAGAUAAAAAGAGUUCUGGAGAUGGAUGGUGGUGACGGCUGCGCAACAAUGUGAAUACACUUAACACAGGAGUCCUCCCUUGUUUGUGGGAGAUACCGUCCAAGACCCCCAGUUGACGCCUGAAAUGGCAGAUAGUAACUGAAUCCCAUAAUGCUAUAUUUUUCCCGCACAUACAUAGCUAUGAUGAGGUUUAAUUUAUAAAUCAGGCACAAUAAGUGAUUAGCAACAACAGUAAAAUGUAACAAUUAAUAUACCAUUCUAAAAUUGUCAGCAUCAGUACUUUUGCACUUUGAGGCCAUUAUUGAGUAAAGUAAGGGUUACUUCAGUACAGCAUUGUGACCGGGACUCUGACGAUCAAAAUGGCGGGCAGUGUACACAGUGUGCGCAGAGAUGACUACUCCCCGGGCAUCCCGGCACAGGAGGGCAGUGUGGGUUCCAUCAGGCCCCCUGGAACACCGUGUGAUACGAAACCUCGGAACUGUUUAUUUCUGGAAUUUCUCAUUUGAUAGUUUAGGGCCACAGUUGACUAGAACAAUUAAAACCACAGAAAGUAAAAUCAAGAAGGGGGGACUACUAUACCAUCAAAACGUAAAAGUAGCUAAGUUGAUGAAGACAAUCAGGCACAGAGAGGUGAAAUGGCAUGACCAAGAUCACAGCACCAAUGGGCGCAGGGUCAGGUCCACUCCUACAGAGCCGCCCCUAGACUGAACCCCCGCCCACCCUGCACUAAGGAGCAGGAGGUGACCCAGGGGAAGGGCAUAGUGGAGGGAAAAUGCAGGCCUGGAUCCAAACUGUGGCACGAGACAUACAUUUAAGCUUUUAAAAAGUAAAGUUUCUGAAAUGUUUUAAAUUGAUCCACUCUCUCUUUCAUUGAUUUUCCUAAUAAUUAAUUAUCAUAUGAGAAAACCAGUGGAUAUGUCGACGAUAUGGCUCUUCCUACAGAAAGCAGCCCUGUGCAUUUUCUAGGAAGCACCACAGGUCUCCAUUUCUUCUCUUUCCUUUUCAUUUACUUAAUUUUAUUUUUUGAGAAAGAGGAAUGAGGCUAAAUCUUAAGUCUUGUCCUCAACAGAUAUAGAGACUAUCUAAUGAGAGAUACAAAAGCAAUCUGUGGUUCCACAUGUUUGUUGAAGAAUUCAUCCUGAAUUCCAGGAUCAAUGCCAGAAAGUGAGUUGAUAAGAGCCACGUUAUUUCAAGAUUAAUGGAGCAGCCUUGUGUGGAACAUUUGCUUGACACAGGGUCUGGCAGUGGAUGCUAGUUCAAGGGCAUCCCCAUCGCUCUCGAAUCACAGGACAGACUAGAAGGUGCCAAAAGCUUUGCAGCAAGCCCAGUGCCACCCUGGAUGCUUCUGUCACCUGGGACUGCAGAGAGAAUGUGGCUGGACACCAAGGAGGCAGAGAACAGCCACCUGUCCCCACAAAUAACAAUGAUGCCAGCAAAUAUGAGCAUCACUGGGUUUGCUAAUGCUAGAAAACAUCGGGAUACGUGAGUUUUGUAGUUUCCACCAUUAUGGAGGUCAGCAUACAUUACAUUCCCUGACUACCCAAAAAGCAAUGAAAAUAAAGUCAAAGUGAAUUUU
rnacentral:lncRNA from 1 species